UUUGUUUCUUCUUUUGAAUUGUUUGAAUCUAGCUGGAAAUAGUUGAAACCGAGUUGUUUUGACGCUCUGCUUAUAUUUGGCAGUUGGGAACUUAGGCGUCCUUUUCUUCUUCUUCUUCUUCUUCUUCUUCUUCUUCUUCUAGUUUUGAUUGAUUCCUAAAACAUUCAACGAUCAUGUUAUUCUCAUUCAUUUCUGGAAUUAAUGAAUAUGGUUAUGCGGCGUAGUUCAUGUAGUUUACAAUUCUCUUACUGUUGUAUUGAAUUCUUGAAUGUAGUUUGGUGGGAUCGAUCAAUACACUCAUAGUUAUUGAAGAAAA